rnacentral:rRNA from 1 species
UACAGAGGGUGCAAGCGUUGUUCGGAUUUACUGGGCGUAAAGCGUGCGUAGGCGGUAUUGAGAGUCACUGGUGAAAUCCCCAGGCUUAACCUGGGAACUGCCAGUGAGACCUCAGUACUAGAGUGUGAGAGGGGAUGGUGGAAUUCCAAGUGUAGCGGUGAAAUGCGUAGAGAUUUGGAGGAACACCGGCGGCGAAGGCGGCCAUCUGGCUCACAACUGACGCUCAGGCACGAAAGCGUGGGGAGCAAACAGG